rnacentral:rRNA from 1 species
UACGUAGGGUGCGAGCGUUGUCCGGAAUUAUUGGGCGUAAAGGGCUCGUAGGCGGUUUGUCGCGUCGGGAGUGAAAUCCACUGGCUUAACUGGUGGCUUGCUUUCGAUACGGGCAGACUGGAGGUAUGCAGGGGAGAACGGAAUUCCUGGUGUAGCGGUGAAAUGCGCAGAUAUCAGGAGGAACACCGGUGGCGAAGGCGGUUCUCUGGGCAUGUCCUGAAGCUGAGGAGCGAAAGUGUGGGGAGCGAACAGG